rnacentral:misc_RNA from 1 species
AACGCACGAGACCUGCGGACCUGCGGAAGGAUCAUUAAUGAGAAGCUGCCCCUCGUGGGUAGACCUCCCACCCUCUGUGAACUUACCUUUGUUGCUUUGGCAGGCCCGUCCUCUGGACCGCCGGCUUCGGCUGGCCCGUGCCUGCCAGAGGAUUCCAAACCCUGUCUGUCAGUGUUGUCUGAGUCUAUAUGAAAUCGUUAAAACUUUCAACAACGGAUCGCUAGAUCGGAAGAGCACACG